rnacentral:rRNA from 1 species
CGUUAAUGGGUGAUGGCGUGCCUUUUGUAGAAUGAACCGGCGAGUUACGAUUGCAUGCGAGGUUAAGUUGAAGAGACGGAGCCGCAGCGAAAGCGAGUCUGAAUAGGGCGUUUGAGUAUGUAGUCGUAGACCCGAAACCAUGUGAUCUACCCAUGUCCAGGUUGAAGGUGCGGUAAAACGCACUGGAGGACCGAACCCACGUACGUUGAAAAGUGCGGGGAUGAGGUGUGGGUAGCGGAGAAAUUCCAAACGAACUUGGAGAUAGCUGGUUCUCUCCGAAAUAGCUUUAGGGCUAGCCUCGGAAUUGAGAAUGAUGGAGGUAGAGCACUGUUUGGACUAGGGGCCCAUCUCGGGUUACCGAAUUCAGAUAAACUCCGAAUGCCAUUCAUUCAUAUCCGGGAGUCAGACUGUGAGUGAUAAGAUCCAUAGUCGAAAGGGAAACAGCCCAGACCACCAGCUAAGGUCCCAAAAUAUAUGUUAAGUGGAAAAGGAUGUGGGGUUGCACAGACAACUAGG